rnacentral:rRNA from 1 species
UUAGUCCUACGGGGGGCAGCAGUGGGGAAUAUUGCACAAUGGGGGAAACCCUGAUGCAGCAACGCCGCGUGAGUGAAGAAGUAGUUCGGUAUGUAAAUCUCUAUCAGCAGGGAAGAAGAAAGACGGUACCUGACUAAGAAGCCCCGGCUAACUACGUGCCAGCAGCCGCGGUAAUACGUAGGGGGCAAGCGUUAUCCGGAUUUACUGGGUGUAAAGGGAGCGUAGACGGCGAUGCAAGUCUGAAGUGAAAGGCGGGGGCCCAACCCCCGGACUGCUUUGGAAACUGUAU